AUGACUUAUGUGUUCUGUGCAAGUCGGUUGCCUGCCUCUCUGGACGAUACCUUGAACCACAAAUGGCUGUGUGAAUUCUGCCAGGAUCACGACAGUGCUGGACACCCUUGUGGCUGGGGAGAGACCACUUGGGUAAGAGGCAGUGCUUUUCCUCACUUGGGUAUUCAACUAAAGGCAAUCACAGUAUUGUUGACAUUUAUAAAUUAA
rnacentral:lncRNA from 1 species